CAAGGCUAAAUACUCCUGACUGACCGAUAGUGAACCAGUACCGUGAGGGAAAGGCGAAAAGAACCCCGGCGAGGGGAGUGAAAAAGAACCUGAAACCGUGUACGUACAAGCAGUGGGAGCACCUUCGGGUGUGACUGCGUACCUUUUGUAUAAUGGGUCAGCGACUUAUAUUCUGUAGCAAGGUUAACCGUAUAGGGGAGCCGCAGGGAAACCGAGUCUUAACUGGGCGUUAAGUUGCAGGGUAUAGACCCGAA
rnacentral:rRNA from 2 species